GGCCGCUUCUGCGCGGCGCCCACCGCGCUGCCAGAGGCUCCCCCGCCGCUCGCCGUCGUCCGGGCGCGCGUCGCUCUUUCCCGCGCCUUUCCCGGGGCCCACGCGCGGUUCCUGCCGCCCCGGGACGGCGGUGCCUCCGCGAGGACCGCGCAGAUGGGGCAAGUCUGCAGGGCCGAGGCGAGGUCGGUUUGCCGGCAGCGUGGAAGGGAGAGCAGCUGGGGAGAGGAAGGAGGGGCUGAAGGCUGUGGUGCGAUCGCGCGUUCCCUCGGCAGCCCUUCUGGACCUCAGGAGGAAGCAAGCAAGUCCUAUUCCCUGUCAUCUGCUGUUCCAGAUCACCAAAGAGCGGAGCAACGGCGAGCAGCAGGGAGCAGCCAAGGGCUCGCUGCCCUGGGAGCAGCGCUGGCUGAGCCUGGCUCUUCUGCAGCGGAGGGUUUCAGUUCUGGGUUUCCCACCUGGUGCAUGUAAAACACAACAGCCCCCACCGCGACGGCUUUCUGCCAGGAAGCGCAGGCUUGCUCGCUGGGUGCAGUGUGAGGGAACUCAGUGCCAGGCAGGAUCAGGCCAAGGUGGUGCAAAGUCAACAAGUUAAAGGCAAGUCGUCAGGCCCUGCCUUCGGUCUGAUAGACAGAGCUGAGGAAGGCCCAGGCCUUGCACUGCUUUGGGGAUGUCAUACAACAAUGUUGCUUGCUUCGCCGUGCGGCUUUGGUUGUGGUGCUGGGCCUCUUGGUUCAGCUUGCCAUGAGCCAUUCGGUCUGCUCUUCUUCCUUUUCAUGCAAGAGAGCUGUGUUCACGGAGAUACCAGGAGCAAACUCGGAGCAGAGGCACGAGAUAAAGGCAAGCUGAGUGCUGGGUGAUGAAUGUGGCCGCCAGGAGGAAAUCUCCUUUGUGAUCAGUGCCAAACCACAGCUCCUUUCUUGAGUCCACAUUUGAGACGGGGCAAUCCCAGCUGGGUCCUGAGUCUCCCCUUUGCACUGCCAUGUCUGAUGAAAAUCCUACUGCUCCCAA
rnacentral:lncRNA from 1 species